rnacentral:rRNA from 1 species
GUGGGGAAUCUUAGACAAUGGGGGAAACCCUGAUCUAGCCAUGCCGCGUGAGCGAUGAAGGCCUUAGGGUUGUAAAGCUCUUUCAGCUGGGAAGAUAAUGACGGUACCAGCAGAAGAAGCCCCGGCUAACUCCGUGCCAGCAGCCGCGGUAAUACGGAGGGGGCUAGCGUUGUUCGGAAUUACUGGGCGUAAAGCGCACGUAGGCGGAUCAGAAAGUCAGAGGUGAAAUCCCGGGGCUCAACCCCGGAACUGCCUUUGAAACUCCCAGUCUUGAGUUCGAGAGAGGUGAGUGGAAUUCCGAGUGUAGAGGUGAAAUUCGUAGAUAUUCGGAGGAACACCAGUGGCGAAGGCGGCUCACUGGCUCGAUACUGACGCUGAGGUGCGAAAGCGUGGGGAGCAAACAGGAUUAGAAACCCCGGUAGUCC